AUGAUAUUUUGGACACCCCAUCUUUGCCCUCUGCUCCUGCCCUCCUGCAAGGGUGCCAGCCGCCAGGGGCUGCGCCCCGCGGUGCCGUGCCGUGGGGCUGCUCCAAAACCCUGCCAGGCUCCAGGGAAGGGCUCGUCUGGGGUCAGCGCAAUCGAUAUCUCAUCUGCAGGCUCUCCUAGCGGAAGUGAUGGUAUAUUGGAACAUGGUAAUGGCUCUUGUCUAGUGGAAAAGGCUAAUCUUCCCCAGCUGUACAGGAUCUCCGCAGGUGUCCUCGGCUCUCCCGGCUGCCACCAGCCCCGCAGCAAGCCAAGGAGCAGGCACAGCUCUUUAAAGCCGCAGCAGUCCAAUUUAGGGCCGGUCACGGCCAGGGGCAGCUGCCCUGAGCCUGGCAGAGCCCCACGAGAGGUGGCCAAGGGCUCCUCGGAGAGGGACCCGCAGCCAGGGUGGCAGCACCGCCCUUGGGUGCAUGGCACGGGUGGCCAGGGCGGUGCAGGUUUGCUUGGUCAAGGUGCACAAGGUGCCAUCUCCUCUGGUCCCCCUGCCCAGGGAUGUCAUUUCCCCGGGGAGGAGGCUGUGGGGACGAUGCCAGGAGGGACGUGGUCCCCUCUAAGUGCCACCUGCAAGCGGAGGUGGGAGGCGAGCGUGCGCCGCAGGGAAAAGCAGGGGCGAGAGAGCUCCUUGGUGAUAAUUUGGCUUUUUUGGCAACGCUCUUGCUCCCUGCCAGGGCUCACCCCACGGGGAUUUGCUCAUCCCUGGGGACUGCUAGCAGCUGCGUGCGUGGGCAGCUCGCUCCAGUGGGACCCCGUGGGGCUGGGGGGAUGCAGGAGGGGGAAGGCAGGGAUGGAGAGGCUGGAGCCAGCCCGGGGCAGGUUUUUUUCUCCAGGGCAAUCUUUGCCCGUCCCCGUGCAGACCUGGAUUUUAAAAGCUGGCCAGCCAAUGCCGGCUGUUGCAGCCUGCUGCAUCACUAUGGCAAAAUCAAUUUUCCCCUUUCUCUGGAGGUAG
rnacentral:lncRNA from 1 species